rnacentral:rRNA from 1 species
GGGUAGCCGGCCUGAGAGGGCGACCGGCCACACUGGGACUGAGAUACGGCCCAGACUCCUACGGGAGGCAGCAGUGGGGAAUAUUGCACAAUGGGCGCAAGCCUGAUGCAGCAACGCCGCGUGCGGGAUGACGGCCUUCGGGUUGUAAACCGCUUUCAGCUCCGACGAAGGUAACCUGACGGUAGGAGCAGAAGAAGGACCGGCCAACUACGUGCCAGCAGCCGCGGUGAUACGUAGGGUCCGAGCGUUGUCCGGAAUUAUUGGGCGUAAAGGGCUUGUAGGCGGUUUGUCGCGUCGGAAGUGAAAACUCAGAGCUUAACUCUGAGCCUGCUUCCGAUACGGGCAAACUAGAGGGAUGCAGGGGAGAACGGAAUUCCUGGUGGAGCGGCGGAAUGCGCAGAUAUCAGGAGGAACACCGGUGGCGAAGGCGGUUCUCUGGGCAUUUCCUGACGCUGAGAAGCGAAAGCGUGGGGAGCAAACAGGCUUAGAUACCCUGGUAGUCCACGCCGUAAACGGUGGGCACUAGGUGUGGGGAACAUUCCACGUUCUCCGUGCCGAAGCUAACGCAUUAAGUGCCCCGCCUGGGGAGAACGGCCGCAAGGCUAAAACUCAAAGGAAUUGACGGGGGCCCGCACAAGCGGCGGAGCAUGCGGAUUAAUUCGAUGCAACGCGAAGAACCUUACCUGGGUUUGACAUAUGCCGGAAAGCCAUAGAGAUAUGGCCCCCGCAAGGUCGGUAUACAGGUGGUGCAUGGCUGUCGUCAGCUCGUGUCGUGAGAUGUUGGGUUAAGUCCCGCAACGAGCGCAACCCUCGUCCUAUGUUGCCAGCGGAUCAUGCCGGGGACUCAUAGGAGACUGCCGGGGUCAACCCGGAGGAAGGUGGGGAUGACGUCAAGUCAUCAUGCCCCUUAAGUCCAGGGCUUCACGCAUGCUACAAUGGCUGGUACAAAGGGCUGCAAUACCGCAAGGUUGAGCGAAUCCCAAAAAGCCAGUCUCAGUUCGGAUUGGGGUCUGCAACUCGACCCCAUGAAGUCGGAGUCGCUAGUAAUCGCAGAUCAG